rfam:Picea glauca, whole genome shotgun sequence.
GUAAUGGUGUCUUUAGACACCACCUAUAUCUUCAAAAAUUUUGUU